AUUGAACGCUGGCGGCAUGCCUUACACAUGCAAGUCGAACGGCAGCAUGAUCUAGCUUGCUAGAUUGAUGGCGAGUGGCGAACGGGUGAGUAAUACAUCGGAACGUGCCCUGUAGUGGGGGAUAACUAGUCGAAAGAUUAGCUAAUACCGCAUACGACCUGAGGGUGAAAGUGGGGGACCGCAAGGCCUCAUGCUAUAGGAGCGGCCGAUGUCUGAUUAGCUAGUUGGUGGGGUAAAGGCCCACCAAGGCGACGAUCAGUAGCUGGUCUGAGAGGACGAU
rnacentral:rRNA from 1 species